UACGUAGGGUGCAAGCGUUAUCCGGAAUCACUGGGCGUAAAGCGUGCGUAGGCGGGAGUUUAAGUGAGAUGUUAAAUCGUGUGGCUCAACCAUAUCGAUGCAUCUCAUACUGGACACCUAGAGGAAGGCAGAGGCAAGUGGAAUUUGAUAGUGUAGCAGUGAAAUGCGUAGAUAUUACAAGGAACACCAAUGGCGAAGGCAGCUUGCUGGGCCUUUUCUGACGCUGAGGUACGGAAAGCGUGGGGAGCAAACAGG
rnacentral:rRNA from 1 species